GCAGCGGGCUACAUCAAUUGAUGUCAGUAUGUAUAUAUCACUAGCUUUACUGUGACAAGAAAGGAAAUGACAAAACUAUAAGACAACCUCUUUAAGAUGACCGAACAUAAGAAGAGCAGAUUGAAUAACAACCAACACCAACAAGGAGUUACUUACCACGCUUUAACAGCAUUGAUAGAAAUUGAGCUGUUUCUGGGCAAAAUGGAAGUGUUAAUUUUACUCUAAAAAUUUGCUAAAACAUUGUGUGUAGUUUUUUUAUAUUUCUGUUUUUAAUCAGUGGCUACAGUAGGUGUGGUAAUAAGUUCUGUGAUUUCACAAGUGACAAAUCAGUACUGACUCAGAAAAUUACUACUGAGAUGCAUGGAUAGAGUAAAUAUGUCAAUAGUAAAUGUAAAUACUGUAAAUAUAAAAUAUGUUUAUUGCUAGUAUCCUGGGAAGCCAUAAGAUG